ACAAAUGCCAGCCCAGGCUACUAUACCCGGCCAAACUCUCAAUUACCAUAGACGGAGAAACCAAAGUAUUCCAUGACAAAACCAAAUUUACACAAAUCCAGCCCUACAAAGGAUAACAGGUGGAAAACAACACAAGGAGGGACAUUAUACCCUAGAAAAAGCAAGAAAGUAAUCUUUCAACAAACCCAAAAGAAAAUAGCCACACAAACAUAAUUCCACCUCUAACAAUAAAAGUAACAGGAAGCAACAAUCUCUUUUCCAAAAUAUCUCUUAACAUCAAUGGGCUCAAUUCCCCAAUAAAAAGACAUAGGCUAACAGACUGGACAUGUAAACAGGACCCAGUAUUCUGCUGCAUACAGGAAACACCUCAGUAACAAAGAUGGGACACUGCCUUAGAGUAAAAGGCUGGAAAACAAUUUUGUAAGCAAAUGGUCCCAAGAAACAAGCUGGAGUAGCCGUUCUAGUAUCAAAGAAAAUCAACUUUCAACCAAAAAUUAUCAAAAAGAUAAGGAAGGACACUUCAUACUGGUCAAAGGAAAAAUCUACCAAGAUGAACUCUCAAUUCUGAACACCUAUGCUCCAAAAACCCCACAUUCAUAAAAGAAACUUUAGUAAAGCUCAAAUCAUACACUCCACACAUUAAUAGUGGGAGACUUCAACACCCCACUCUCAGCAAUGGACAGAUCCUGGAAACAGAAACUAAUCAGAGACCCAGUGAAACUAAGAGAGGUUAUGAAGCAAAUGAAUCUAAGAUAUUUAUAGACCAUUUCACCCUAAAGCAGAAGGAUAUACCUUCUUCUCAGCAUCUCUUGGAACCUUCUCCAAAAUUGACCAUUGACAAAACAGGCCUCAACAGAUACAAGAAGAUUGAAAUAAUCCUGUGCACCCUAUAAGACCACCAUGGACUAAAUAUCAACAAAAACAACGAACAGAAAGCCCACAUACACAUGGAAGCUGAGCAAUGCUCUACUCAAUGAUAACUUGGCCAAGGAAGACAUAAAGAAAAAAUUUAAAGACUUUUUAGAAUUUAAUGAAAAUGAAGACAACAUACCAAAACUUAUGGGAUACAAUAAAAGCAGUGGUAAGAGGAAAACUCAUAGCUCUGAGUGCCUCCAAAAAGAAACUAGAGAGAGCACACACUAGCAGCUUGACAGCACACCUAGAAGCUCUAGAACAAAAAGAGGCAAAUUCACCCAAGAGGACUAGAAAGCAGGAAAUAAUCAAACUCAGGACUGAAAUCAACCAAUUGGAAACAAAAAGAACUAUUCGAAGAAUCAACCAAACCAGGAGGUGGUUCUUUGAGAAAAUCAACAAGAUAGAUAAACCCUUAGCUAAACUAACUAGAGGGCACAGGGACAGCAUCCUAAUUAACAAAAUCAAAAAUGAAAAGGGAGAUAUAACAAUGAAAUACAUGUUAAAAUAAUUUUUCUGUUUGAUGAACAUUAACAGUUGAAAAUAUAAUCAUGUUCUAUAAAUAUGGAAACAUUAUUGAUACUUUUUCUCACUGCUUGAAAUUAUUAUUUUCUUAAUGUUUUUAACUUCAAAGAAUUUUUGCUAUUUUGAAAUUUUUAAAAUUUAUUACUGAUAAAAUCUCUCCUAGAAAUGCUGGUAAUCUUUUUUAAGUAAACUGAUUGUUAGACAAUAUACACAGAAAUAUAAUGUAUUUUAAAUACUCUCUCACUAUGUCAGGGGUAUCAUAUAAGGGCUUUUGAAUGUAUUUCUUUCUUAUUUUUUUUAAAAAAAGAUUUAUUUAUUUAUUAUAUGUAAGUACACUGUAGCUGUCUUCAGACACUCCAGAAGAGGGCGUCAGAUUUCGUUACAGAUGGUUGUGAGCCACCAUGUGGUUGCUGGGAUUUGAACUCGGGACCUUCAGAAGAGCAGUUGGCGCUCUUAACCACUGAGCCAUCUCGCCAGCCCCAUUGAAUGUAUUUCUUAAUGAUUCAUUUUUAAUAUUUUAUGCUCCUUUACUAUGCUUAAUUUCCAAAGGAUAUCUUGUAUGUUUUGAAACAAUUUAGUAUUCCACAUUAGAUAUAGGAUCCUCAGUUAUGGAUAGUAUUACAUAUUCAUUAAUGAUAUUUUUAGGGUAUGAAAGGAUAUGAAUUUUUGUAAAAGUUGAACAAAGUUUAUGUGUAUUAUUUGAUUCUCAAAAUACUCAAUAUUAUUAAUAUGUUUGAUGUAUAAAAUUCAUUUAAUUAAUAAAAAAUUUAAAAAAUAAAUUUUAGUAUUUAAAAAAACUUACAAAUAACUAUAAACAUCACAUUUUCACUUCCUCUCUCCCACAGAAAUAUUAUUUAUGUUCUUUGAUAAUAUGUGUUCUUAAUUGUUCAAGUUCUGGCAGAGGGCCAUGGUACACUCAGGUAGCCUUAAAGUUUAGUCUUACAAAGGGAGUGAGCAGGCAUGGUGGGAGAACCCAGAAUCUAAGCCCAUCCCCCCCACCACAGCCUGAGGAAGCGCCGGACCAGAGGGACUCCCAGAACCUUGGAAUAACCAGAGCUCUAGAAGAAAUGCAGCUCUAGAAGAAAACAAUAACCACACACAGGUGUGGCCAGGAGAAGGGAAUCGGGAUUUUCUCCACCCUUCUGCAUUCUGACAUCACCUCCCAUUGGCCACACCCACCACAAGCCGGUGGGCCUGAGCCCUUGAUUGUACCCUGGGCCUCACGUGGGCACCGAGUGGGAUAAGAGGUCAGAGCAGGAUGGCCUGCAGAGCCAAGCAGGGCAAAUUCUCUUCAGCCGUGUAAGCUUAUGAACUGAUGAGGUCGCCUGCUCAGUCCCACAAAGUAAAGUUAAUUG
rnacentral:lncRNA from 1 species